CAGUCAUGCUAGUGAGGAAUCAACCUGAUGGUGUGUGGGUUCUCCCUCGUACUUUCUGGUGCACUUUCUCACCCGGCAGGUUAGCAUCAAUUUCGGUUAUCAUAAAAAAUUUGAGAGAAUGUGGCUUGCCUUUAUGGCCGGGGUUUGCCCACGUUCAAGCUUAGGAUGUUGACUUAAUGGCCUUAAACGACCCGUCUUGAAAC
rnacentral:rRNA from 1 species